GUUUUAAAAUUAUACAAACAAGGUGCCGGUUGAGUCUUUGGCGCGAUGUUUAUACGGGAAGACAGACAGAGAAUUCGAUGAAGAAUUCCAGAACUUUCCAAGCGGCCUCACAAAAUCGUACCAUGCCUCGCAUCUCAAAGAAAACGUCUCCAAGAACAGAUACCGGGGAAUAUAUCCAUAUGACGAUUCAAGAGUGCGGAUCAAAGGAGGAGACUCGGAUUACAUCAAUGCCAGUUUUAUCGAUGGCUACAACAUGAAACGCGCGUACAUUGCUACACUGGGUAAGAGACAGUCAUAGGGAAGUAUUUGUAUUUUGUAUUAAUUUCAUUUAGUUAUGACCGAAAUUUACCUGCAAAACGCUUUAAAUAGUUUUUAAUAUGGC